rnacentral:lncRNA from 1 species
AAAGCCUUCACUUUUCCUAACUUACUGUUGCGUGUAAUAAAGAUGAUGUCUUCUUACUUAAUAUUUAUAUUUAGUGGGUAUGUUGAACGCAUGUAGUCAGGAUACUAAAGAUGUAAGUCUGCUUCAAAAUCUGAUUGGUCUGCUUCACAUCUUGAUUAUAUCUAAAGCAAACUUGAUAAUGAGUAAUGGUUGAUAAUAGAGAAAUAUCCUUUGACAUUUCAAACUUUCCACUGAUAUGUCGCAAAAUUCGAGCAGCGCUGACAUAUUGAGU